CGCUGGCGGCAUGCUUUACACAUGCAAGUCGAACGGCAGCACGGGCUUCGGCCUGGUGGCGAGUGGCGAACGGGUGAGUAAUAUAUCGGAACGUACCCAAGAGUGGGGGAUAACGUAGCGAAAGUUACGCUAAUACCGCAUACGAUCUAUGGAUGAAAGUGGGGGAUCGCAAGACCUCAUGCUCCUGGAGCGGCCGAUAUCUGAUUAGCUAGUUGGUGAGGUAAAGGCUCACCAAGGCGACGAUCAGUAGCUGGUCUGAGAGGACGACCAGCCACACUGGAACUGAGACACGGUCCAGACUCCUACGGGAGGCAGCAGUGGGGAAUUUUGGACAAUGGGCGCAAGCCUGAUCCAGCAAUGCCGCGUGAGUGAAGAAGGCCUUCGGGUUGUAAAGCUCUUUUGUCAGGGAAGAAACGGUAGGGGCUAAUAUCCCUUGCUAAUGACGGUACCUGAAGAAUAAGCACCGGCU
rnacentral:rRNA from 1 species